AACAUAACACUUGAUACUUUAUUCCAGCACUUCUAGCAAGUUUCCUGAUGUGCUUGGUGAGUGGCAUGUGUACGUGUAAGAGCUGUUGUCUGGCAAUGGUACCAGUGUUCAUGAGUGAUUUUCAAAACCUAUUCCAUAUUCAAAAGUACAGAAAAUGUCCUCUAGAGUGAGUGGAUCUCAAUUCAUACUGGGAAGUGUCCAUGGGUUGAUCCCUUUGUGAAUUACAUGGAGCUGACAGGGCUGAAACCCACAAUGACCCAGAUGAGGAUUGAAGCUUGUGCUGAAAGAGUGGCUGCCGCCCCAAACAUGUAAGUAAGUAAUAUUAAUCCCCACUGAGCAGAGUGGUGCAAAAUUAUUCAGGCUGCUUCCUGAAGAAACUUCUAAUGUAGUGUGUAAUGAAAAUGUCAGGUGCGUGAGUUGUUAGGCGCUGCCCUGCUGUUCUGAAGCACCAGGUAUUUCUCUACCUGUUAUCCAAGCAGCAGAGUCUUGUGAGGAAGGCAGUUGGGCCUGAGGAGAGCAGGCAAUUAUUUGUGCUGAGAGGAUCACAGAGUGAGUGACAACAGUGAAGCUGGCCUGAGGAGAGGGUGGCAUGUCUGUGGUGGAGAUGACGUGGAAAGGGGUGUGUGGGGAAGAUGUGUGGGAGGAUGACCCCGACUGGUCUUUGACCCUGCAUAAUGUCAUGACCCAAAUCAUCUGGCCCUGAGGAUUUAACAGUUGUUCUCAGGGCAGCUUUCAUUAUUAGGAAUUCAGAUGGGAUCACUGUAGAAAGAAAGAUGUUUACGGUUAUUUCUGUAGUCGUUCUAGAAAUGCAAACUCAGUGUUUGGCAUUUAUUUACAUGUAUUAUUUACUUUGGACCUCAUAGAAGUUUGCGUCUCUCCAACCCGUGUGUGGCUUAUCUCAGCCAGAUUCUUGGAGGCUCUCUGG
rnacentral:lncRNA from 1 species